rnacentral:rRNA from 1 species
GCUUAAGCUUAAAAUAAUUAGACUUGAAGAUUAAUAGAUAUAUACUUUAAACUCAAAGAAUUUGGCGGUAUUUUAGUCUUAUUAGAGGAACCUGUUUUAUAAAUGAUAAACCACGUAAUAUCUUACUUGUUUUUAUAUAAAUAUGUAUACCGUCAUUAUUAGAUAACUCUAAAAAGGUAAGUUGUUAAAAUUGAAAAAAUUAAGAAUAUUAGAUCAAGGUGCAGUUGAUGAACAAGUAAAAAUGGGUUACAAUAAAUUAUAUUUAUACGGAUUAAAAUAAGAAUUUAAAUUAGGAAGGUGGAUUUAAUAGUAAAAGUGAAUAUAAUAAGGCAUUUUGAUUAUAGCUCUAAAUUAUGUACAUAUCGCCCGUCGCUUUCAUUAAUUAAAGUGAAAUAAGUCGUAACAUA